rnacentral:rRNA from 1 species
UAAACAUAGACAGUUCACAUACCCCGCUGUCCGCCCGGGUACUACGAGCAUAAGCUUAAAACCCAAAGGACUUGGCGGUGCUUUAAACCCACCUAGAGGAGCCUGUUCUAGAACCGAUAAUCCCCGUUCAACCUCACCCCUCCUUGCUCUUUCCGCCUAUAUACCACCGUCGUCAGUUUACCCUGUGAAGGUUAAACAGUAAGCACAAUCGGCACAGCCCAAAACGUCAGGUCGAGGUGUAGCGUAUGGAGGGGGAAGAAAUGGGCUACAUUCCCUAAUAUUAGGGCAUACGGAUUAUAUGAUGAAACGCAUAUCUGAAGGAGGAUUUAGCAGUAAGCGGGAAAUAGAGUGUCCCACUGAAACCGGC